CUACCAUGCAGUCGAGCGGUAACAUUUCAAAAGCUUGCUUUUGAAGAUGACGAGCGGCGGACGGGUGAGUAAUGCUUGGGAAGUUGCCUUAAUGAGGGGGAUAACUAUUGGAAACGAUAGCUAAUACCGCAUAAUCUCUACGGAGCAAAGCAGGGGACCUUCGGGCCUUGCGCAUUAAGAUACGCCCAAGUGGGAUUAGCUAGUUGGUGAGGUAAAGGCUCACCAAGGCGACGAUCCCUAGCUGGUCUGAGAGGAUGAUCAGCCACACUGGAACUGAGACACGGUCCAGACUCCUACGGGAGGCAGCAGUGGGGAAUAUUGCACAAUGGGCGCAAGCCUGAUGCAGCCAUGCCGCGUGUGUGAAGAAGGCCUUAGGGUUGUAAAGCACUUUCAGCAGUGAGGAAGGUAGUAACACUAAUAAUGUUGCUAUUUGACGUUAGCUGCAGAAGAAGCACCGGCUAACUCCGUGCCAGCAGCCGCGGUAAUACGGAGGGUGCGAGCGUUAAUCGGAAUUACUGGGCGUAAAGCGCAUGCAGGCGGCUUGUUAAGUCAGAUGUGAAAGCCCGGAGCUUAACUUCGGAAGGUCAUUUGAAACUGGCAAGCUAGAGUCUUGUAGAGGGGGGUAGAAUUUCAGGUGUAGCGGUGAAAUGCGUAGAGAUCUGAAGGAAUACCGGUGGCGAAGGCGGCCCCCUGGACAAAGACUGACGCUCAGAUGCGAAAGCGUGGGUAGCAAACGGGAUUAGAUACCCCCGGUAGUCCACGCCGUAAACGAUGUCUACUUGAAGGUUGUGGCCUUGAGCCGUGGCUUUUCGGAGCUAACGCGUUAAGUAGACCGCCUGGGGGAGUACGGUCGCAAGAUUAAAACUCAAAUGAAUUGACGGGGGCCCGCACAAGCGGUGGAGCAUGUGGUUUAAUUCGAUGCAACGCGAAGAACCUUACCUACUCUUGACAUCCAGAGAAGCCAGCGGAGACGCAGGUGUGCCUUCGGGAACUCUGAGACAGGUGCUGCAUGGCUGUCGUCAGCUCGUGUUGUGAAAUGUUGGGUUAAGUCCCGCAACGAGCGCAACCCUUAUCCUUGUUUGCCAGCACGUAAUGGUGGGAACUCCAGGGAGACUGCCGGUGAUAAACCGGAGGAAGGUGGGGACGACGUCAAGUCAUCAUGGCCCUUACGAGUAGGGCUACACACGUGCUACAAUGGCGCAUACAGAGGGCGGCGAACCAGCGAUGGUAAGCGAAUCCCAAAAAGUGCGUCGUAGUCCGGAUUGGAGUCUGCAACUCGACUCCAUGAAGUCGGAAUCGCUAGUAAUCGUGGAUCAGAAUGCCACGGUGAAUACGUUCCCGGGCCUUGUACACACCGCCCGUCACACCAUGGGAGUGGGCUGCACCAGAAGUAGAUAGCUUAACCUUCGGGAGGGC
rnacentral:rRNA from 1 species